UGGGGAAUCUUGCACAAUGCGCGAAAGCGUGAUGCAGCAACGCCGCGUGCGGGAAGACGGCCUUCGGGUUGUAAACCGCUUUCAGUUGGGACGAAGCCUCGUCGGUGAACAGUCGACCGGGGUGACGGUACCUUCAGAAGAAGCCCCGGCUAACUACGUGCCAGCAGCCGCGGUAAUACGUAGGGGGCAAGCGUUGUCCGGAAUCAUUGGGCGUAAAGCGCGUGUAGGCGGCUCGAUAAGUCUGCUGUGAAAGUCCAGGGCUCAACCCUGGGAUGCCGGUGGAUACUGUCGAGCUCGAGUCCGGAAGAGGCGAGUGGAAUUCCUGGUGUAGCGGUGAAAUGCGCAGAUAUCAGGAGGAACACCAAUGGCGAAGGCAGCUCGCUGGGACGGUACUGACGCUGAGACGCGAAAGCGUGGGGAGCAAACAG
rnacentral:rRNA from 1 species